CGACCUACGGGACGCAGCAGUGAGGAAUAUUGGUCAAUGGGCGGGAGCCUGAACCAGCCAAGUCGCGUGAGGGACGACGGUCCUAUGGAUUGUAAACCUCUUUUGUCGGGGAACAAAGGCGCCCACGGGUGGGCGGAUGAGUGUACCCGAAGAAAAAGCAUCGGCUAACUCCGUGCCAGCAGCCGCGGUAAUACGGAGGAUGCGAGCGUUAUCCGGAUUUAUUGGGUUUAAAGGGUGCGUAGGCGGCCUGCUAAGUCUGGAGUGAAAGGUACCGGCUCAACCGGUACAGGCUCUGGAAACUGGCG
rnacentral:rRNA from 1 species